rnacentral:misc_RNA from 1 species
GAUGAAGAACGUAGCGAAAUGCGAUACUUGGUGUGAAUUGCAGAAUCCCGUGAACCAUCGAGUCUUUGAACGCAAGUUGCGCCUCAAGCCAUUAGGUUGAGGGCACGUCUGCCUGGGCGUCACAUAUCGUUGCCUGAUGCCAGUUUCCUCGUGAUGGGUGACUGUGCAGGGCGAAUGAUGGCUUCCCGUGAGCAUUGUUGCCUCAUGGUUGGUUGAAAAUUGAGUCCUUGGUAGGGAGCGCCGUGAUAGAUGGUGGUUGAGUGACGAACGAGACCCAAUCAUGUGAGACCCCUACCGAAUUUGGCCUUCAUGACCCACAUGCGUCUUUGGAACGCUCAUGACGAGACCUCAGGUCAGGCGGGGCUACCCGAUGAGUUUAAGCAUAUCAAUAAGCGGAGGA